GACGAACGCUGGCGGCGUGCCUAAUACAUGCAAGUCGAGCGAGCGAAACUAACAGAUUUACUUCGGUAAUGACGUUAGGAAAGCGAGCGGCGGAUGGGUGAGUAACACGUGGGGAACCUGCCCCAUAGUCUGGGAUACCACUUGGAAACAGGUGCUAAUACCGGAUAAGAAAGCAGAUCGCAUGAUCAGCUUUUAAAAGGCGGCGUAAGCUGUCGCUAUGGGAUGGCCCCGCGGUGCAUUAGCUAGUUGGUAAGGUAAAGGCUUACCAAGGCGAUGAUGCAUAGCCGAGCUGAGAGGCUGAUCGGCCACAAUGGGACUGAGACACGGCCCAGACUCCUACGGGAGGCAGCAGUAGGGAAUCUUCCACAAUGGGCGAAAGUCUGACGGAGCAACGCCGCGUGAGUGAAGAAGGUUUUCGGAUCGUAAAGCUCUGUUGUUGGUGAAGAAGGAUAGUGGAAGUAACUAGCCUUUAUUUGACGGUAAUCAACCAGAAAGUCACGGCUAACUACGUG
rnacentral:rRNA from 1 species